GUCUAAAUAGUUUAAUAGAAAAUAUUGGUUUGUGGGAUCAAGGAUAUAAAUGUAUUAUUUUAGACU
rnacentral:tRNA from 1 species